rnacentral:rRNA from 1 species
CAGUCGCCGCGGGAAAACGUAGGGUGCAAGCGUUAAUCGGAAUUAUUGGGCGUAAAGCGAGUGCAGACGGUUACUUAAGCCAGAUGUGAAAUCCCCAAGCUUAACUUGGGACGUGCAUUUGAAACUGGGUGACUAGAGUGUGUCAGAGGGAGGUAGAAUUCCACAUGUAGCGGUGGAAUGCGUAGAGAUGUGGAGGAAUACCGAUGGCGAAGGCAGCCUCCUGGGAUAACACUGACGUUGAGGCUCGAAAGCGUGGGGAGCAAACAGGAUUAGAUACCCCCGUAGUCCCUGUCUCUUAUAC